rnacentral:rRNA from 1 species
AUUGAACGCUGGCGGCAGGCCUAACACAUGCAAGUCGAACGGUAACAGGAAGCAGCUUGCUGCUUUGCUGACGAGUGGCGGACGGGUGAGUAAUGUCUGGGAAACUGCCUGAUGGAGGGGGAUAACUACUGGAAACGGUAGCUAAUACCGCAUAACGUCGCAAGACCAAAGAGGGGGACCUUCGGGCCUCUUGCCAUCGGAUGUGCCCAGAUGGGAUUAGCUAGUAGGUGGGGUAACGGCUCACCUAGGCGACGAUCCCUAGCUGGUCUAAGAGGAUGACCAGCCACACUGGAACUGAGACACGGUCCAGACUCCUACGGGAGGCAGCAGUGGGGAAUAUUGCACAAUGGGCGCAAGCCUGAUGCAGCCAUGCCGCGUGUAUGAAGAAGGCCUUCGGGUUGUAAAGUACUUUCAGCGGGGAGGAAGGGAGUAAAGUUAAUACCUUUGCUCAUUGACGUUACCCGCAGAAGAAGCACCGGCUAACUCCGU